UACGGAGGGGGCAAGCGUUGUCCGGAAUCACUGGGCGUAAAGGGCGCGUAGGCGGCUCAUGAAGGCUGUGGUGAAAGUCCGGGGCUCAACCUCGGAUCGGCCGUGGCGACUCGUGGGCUGGAGCACUGUAGAGGCGGGUGGAAUUCCCGGUGUAGCGGUGGAAUGCGUAGAGAUCCGGAAGAACACCAGUGGCGAAGGCGGCCCGCUGGGCAGUGGCUGACGCUGAGGCGCGACAGCGUGGGGAGCAAACGGG
rnacentral:rRNA from 1 species